UCCGGACACGAACAGUUGAGGUUAGAUUCAGUUUUCACUGAUGGGCAAUGCUGACACAAAAACGGGUUGAAGCUUGAAUUACUGGACAUCUGUAUAUGAUUUUAUAUAUCACUUUUCAGUGAAACUUGGUUUUCUCUCCAAGAGUAAAGAGACAAGUUUUUAUCUUUCUAUUGAUCAUCAUUGCCUUGUCAUGGGCUGCCUUUUGAGUCAAGAGCAAAACAUAUGUCACUACCAGCGAGCAUUUUCUUUUCAACAUGAUCACGCAAGAAGAAGAAAGUUUCCCACAAGAAAUACAAACCGACCAUUUUCAAUGUUGGCCAUGAAAGAACUAUCCGACAGGUUAAAAGACUGGCCUUCGGGUCGACCAGUGAUUAGAACUUCUGGAACUGACAGGGAAAAGCUUUGGCGGGAAUGGCGUCCAGGAAAGCUGAUGUGCCAGUAGUUCUUGAUAAAAAAAAAUACUUUAAACAAUAAGUUGGCUUAAAACUGGGUUUCGUUGGAUUAUUCAUUAAUUAUAUAGGUCACCAUCUUUUGUUUUCAACAAUAUUUGCGAAAUAUCCAUAAAAUAUUUAAUUGUGAGAGGCUUUUCCUGAAGGACCUGUAGGUAAAUUUAGGUUACUCGUUGCCAUGGUCGGACCACGUUACUGCAAUAUUGGAUACUGACUAAGGAUUGUCGAGUCAAAGUUAUACAAUUCAAUGCACACGAAAUUGUGGAAUGUAUGAAUUUUGUGUAAUGAUUACCCUGAAGCAUUCCACGAAAAUUGACCUUGCGAACGCGUGAGAAGAACACUGCAAAUGCAUGUUAUAACAUUUUACUGCAGAUGCAUACCAUAACAUCUUACAAUCUGCUGAUCAGAAUGUAAGUGCUUCUUGUAGAAUUGCUAAAGUUCCGAUUCUCGAAGAGCACGGAUGCACGUCGCGCCAAUAUUUUGUGGUGAUUUAAGAGAAUUUUAGUAAUUAAGAUUACAUGAACGUAAGAAGUCAGGCAGUUUCCUUUUAAGAGAUCAGAAACAUAGAAAAAAGAUGUAAGCGAAUUACUUCCAUCCCUACAACUUCCUAUCAUUAAAAGGUACGAAUUAAUCAAAAUACUGAAUUUCGUUUUUUAUGGGCAGGACAAUACUUCAAUGGAUAAUAAUUUUUAUGACAGCAUUUUCGUAUCAAUAGCAAGUUAAAUUUUCAAGAACAAUUUUUCCAAUGUCGAAUCUCGACCUGUUGUGUUAAUAAACUCCUUCGUUAACAAUG